AAUAGUAUUUAUACUUUAUACACUUGUGAACUGUAUGGGAGUAACAUCCCAAUUAACUAUUUUUCAUAUACUGAAAUCAUGAUAUAACAAUCAUAAAACUUUUAGCAACGGAUCUCUAGGCUCU
rnacentral:misc_RNA from 1 species